GAACACUAGGUGUGGCGGACUGAUUCACGUCUGCUGCGCCGUAGCUAACGCAUUAAGUGUUCCGCCUGGGGAGUACGGCCGCAAGGCUAAAACUCAAAGGAAUUGACGGGGCCCCGCACAAGCGGCGGAGCAUGCGGCUUAAUUCGAUGCAACCCGAAGAACCUUACCUGGGUUUGACAUGGUGGGUCUAGCUGUGGAAACACAGUGUGCUUAGGCGCUCAUCACAGGUGGUGCAUGGCUGUCGUCAGCUCGUGUCGUGAGAUGUUGGGUUAAGUCCCGCAACGAGCGCAACCCUCGUCCUAUGUUGCCAGCACGUAAUGGUGGGGACUCAUGGGAGACUGCCGGGGACAACUCGGAGGAAGGCGAGGACGAUGUCAAGUCAUCAUGCCCCUUAUAUCCAGGGCUGCACGCAUGCUACAAUGGGCGGUACAGUGGGCCGCGAUCUCGCAAGAGUCAGCCAAUCCCUCAAAGCCGUCCCCAGUUCGGAUUGAAGUCUGCAACUCGACUUCAUGAAGCCGGAGUCGCUAGUAAUCGUGGAUCAGCUAUGCCACGGUGAAUACGUUCUCGGGGCUUGUACACACCGCCCGUCACAUCACGGAAGUCGGUAACACCCGAAGUCAGUGGCCUAACCCUUUAUUGGGAAGGAGCUGCCUAAGGUGGGAUUGGUAACUGGGAUGAAGUCGUAACAAGGUAGCCGUA
rnacentral:rRNA from 1 species